CUAUACAUGCAGUCGAACGCGUUGGCCCAAUUGAUUGAUGGUGCUUGCACCUGAUUGAUUUUGGUCGCCAACGAGUGGCGGACGGGUGAGUAACACGUAGGUAACCUGCCCAGAAGCGGGGGACAACAUUUGGAAACAGAUGCUAAUACCGCAUAACAACGUUGUUCGCAUGAACAACGCUUAAAAGAUGGCUUCUCGCUAUCACUUCUGGAUGGACCUGCGGUGCAUUAGCUUGUUGGUGGGGUAAUGGCCUACCAAGGCGAUGAUGCAUAGCCGAGUUGAGAGACUGAUCGGCCACAAUGGGACUGAGACACGGCCCAUACUCCUACGGGAGGCAGCAGUAGGGAAUCUUCCACAAUGGGCGCAAGCCUGAUGGAGCAACACCGCGUGAGUGAAGAAGGGUUUCGGCUCGUAAAGCUCUGUUGUUAAAGAAGAACACGUAUGAGAGUAACUGUUCAUACGUUGACGGUAUUUAACCAGAAAGUCACGGCUAACUACGUGCCAGCAGCCGCGGUAAUACGUAGGUGGCAAGCGUUAUCCGGAUUUAUUGGGCGUAAAGAGAGUGCAGGCGGUUUUCUAAGUCUGAUGUGAAAGCCUUCGGCUUAACCGGAGAAGUGCAUCGGAAACUGGAUAACUUGAGUGCAGAAGAGGGUAGUGGAACUCCAUGUGUAGCGGUGGAAUGCGUAGAUAUAUGGAAGAACACCAGUGGCGAAGGCGGCUACCUGGUCUGCAACUGACGCUGAGACUCGAAAGCAUGGGUAGCGAACAGGAUUAGAUACCCUGGUAGUCCAUGCCGUAAACGAUGAGUGCUAGGUGUUGGAGGGUUUCCGCCCUUCAGUGCCGGAGCUAACGCAUUAAGCACUCCGCCUGGGGAGUACGACCGCAAGGUUGAAACUCAAAGGAAUUGACGGGGGCCCGCACAAGCGGUGGAGCAUGUGGUUUAAUUCGAAGCUACGCGAAGAACCUUACCAGGUCUUGACAUCUUGCGCCACCCUAGAAGAUAGGGCGUUUCCUUCGGGAACGCAAUGACAGGUGGUGCAUGGUCGUCGUCAGCUCGUGUCGUGAGAUGUUGGGUUAAGUCCCGCAACGAGCGCAACCCUUGUUACUAGUUGCCAGCAUUAAGUUGGGCACUCUA
rnacentral:rRNA from 1 species